rnacentral:rRNA from 1 species
AUUGAACGCUGGCGGCAGGCCUAACACAUGCAAGUCGAGCGGAUGAAGGGAGCUUGCUCCUGGAUUCAGCGGCGGACGGGUGAGUAAUGCCUAGGAAUCUGCCUGGUAGUGGGGGAUAACGUCCGGAAACGGGCGCUAAUACCGCAUACGUCCUGAGGGAGAAAGUGGGGGAUCUUCGGACCUCACGCUAUCAGAUGAGCCUAGGUCGGAUUAGCUAGUUGGUGGGGUAAAGGCCUACCAAGGCGACGAUCCGUAACUGGUCUGAGAGGAUGAUCAGUCACACUGGAACGGAGACACGGACCAGACGACUACGGGAGGGAGCAGUGGGGAAUAGUGGACAAUGGGGGAAAGCCUGAUCCAGCCAUGCCGCGUGUGUGAAGAAGGUCUUCGGAGUGUAAAGCACGUUAAGUUGGGAGGAAGGGCAGUAAGUUAAUACCUUGCUGUUUUGACGUUACCAACAGAAGAAGCACCGGCUAACUUCGUG